UAGCGGCCAAUAUGUCUACAUACAGCCAUGAACGUGGAGAACAACCAAUGGUUUACCGGCUGCCAGCAGCCAAAAACCUCGCUAAAGGAAAAGAAUCGUUCGGUCCAACAAGCUCAGCGCACACGGUUGCUCUGGAAUGGCGGGUAGUGUAGGCAGGUUUAUAUGUUCGAUUUCAAAUGGGUGGCAACAUACGAAUAUACGUAGAAAUAUUUUAGAGUGUAGAUUCACUCAUUUUGCUUUGUAUGUAGUCACUUGUUAAAAUGUCUAGAAAGACAAAUAUUUGAAAAUGGAGGAAGUAGUUUAUACAAGAAAAAUGUAUAUCUAGUUGGAGCACUAAAAAAAGUUGGUACUCCGUACAUGCAUAGGUAGUCUACGGUCGUCUGAUCACUCACAAAGUUUGAUGCUUGCUUGUUGACACAUUAGCCCGUGAAAGUGUGAAAACGUUCGCGACUUUACAAGUUACAACAAACCACACGGACAACCGUUUUCUAUGCAGCUCCCCUCACCCACUCGCCCAACCCCUACCCGUCUCUUAUCCAUUCCAGUGACUGAGAGUCAGAGGAGAUGUGGCAGCGACACCGAUCUGCUCGCGGCGGCCAUGGCGGGUCUUGCGGCGUGGGACAGCUGCUUCCGGCGUCCGACGGCAGCACGCAUCCCCCAAAGCCCGACCUGCUCAAGCUACGCGCAGCUCGUCCACCUUCCACUCAAAGCGACAACGGCGGCCGCGGAGGACCAGUGGCAGCCAUGGCUGGUCUCGAUUCGACGUGCCGCGGCAGGGCUAGGCGCGUGUAGGCUGCUCGGCAUCAGCGGCCGACAGCGCGCACCUGUGCAAGGAGGUCCUCGUCGAAGAAUAUCAGAGCCGCCUUGUUCUUGAACUCACAGAGGAGCAUGUGGUCGCCCUCUGGGUCCUUGUACUGGCGAGGUGACGAAUCGGUGACCACGCUCCGGGGCGAGCGAGGCCGGGGUGCACGACGAGCCAAGUCGCUAUCCUGGGCUCUGUAAUUGGAAAUUUCGGGCCGAGCGAGCACAUCCGGUUGGUUAGCUGGCGCCUUGGCGGGAGCUGCUGUUGCUCCUCGCUGGGAACAACCACCAUAUCCUCAGGCGGCGGUAGCGACUCGUUCGUGUGCGCGCUGGGCCGGAGCGUCACGGGCGCCAUCACGGCGACCACACCAAGCGCAAGGGCCUUGGGAACAGCCAGAUGCCCCUACACUACAAGCUUUCUCAGAAGAUGGCAUUGGGUAGUGUUCUUUCACGGCACUACUAUCUAUUUCAUGAGGAACCACUUGGCAGAUCUGUAGGAUCGCAAUGUUCAGCCUGGCUUCGAUCUUUGAUCUGGAUGUAAGAUGCGGUGACCUUGGCGCCACAACCAUGGAGACAGCCAGUCUGGACAUGAUGAUGGCAGGGGUUCAGCAGCGAGAAAAGGAGGAGAGUCUGAAAAUUAUCUCGACAUUCAUGUAUCGAGACUCCCGAGAACUUUGCCGAGAAGACCAACGUGGUGUGGGAGCCAUCCAAGGAUUUGAAGCACCUGAACUUGAAGUUGCUGGUGAUCUGGGGGUGCGAGGAUGAAGACAAGGUGACAAACUAUGUAAGGCUUGUCAUGGAACAAGCUGUGGGGCUGUUGAUAAUCAAGCUGCAGGGUGAAUUGCCAUGCAGGCACUGCAACGCCACCAACCUUGACAGAUCCAAGGCGGAGAAAGCUAGCCGGCACCGGAUUAAGGAGCGACUGGCGCAUGGAUCAUCCUCAUUUCUGGAGAUAAUUAUCUGAUAUGUCAAGGAAUGCUGGUAGUAUCAUAACGCUCACAGGCUUGCAGGAGCUAGAGCAAUGACUCUGUGAGGCACAUUCAGUAGUAAUUUUGAUUUCUAGUUAUUGAUAGCUUAAAAAUACUUGGUUGGUGUGGACCUUCCAGUCUAGCUAAAUUAUGUGUGUACUGUCAUCUGACCGCAUGCUUUUCUCUUUCAGUUUACGGAGUAAUUAAUUGCC